rnacentral:rRNA from 1 species
GUCCACGCCCUAAACGAUGUCAACUGGUUGUUGGACGGCUUGCUGUUCAGUAACGAAGCUAACGCGUGAAGUUGACCGCCUGGGGAGUACGGCCGCAAUGUUGAAACUCAAAGGAAUUGACGGGGACCCCGCACAAGCGGUGGAUGAUGUGGUUUAAUUCGAUGCAACGCGAAAACCUUACCUACCCUUGACAUGUCUAGAAGUUUCCAGAGAUGGAUUCGUGCUCGAAAGAGGGCUAGAACACAGGUGCUGCAUGGCCGUCGU